rnacentral:rRNA from 1 species
GCGUGAGUGAAGAAGUAUUUCGGUAUGUAAAGCUCUAUCAGCAGGGAAGAAAGUGACGGCACCUGACUAAGAAGCACCAACUAACUACGUGCCAGCAGCCGCGGUAACACGUAGGGGGCAAGCGUUAUCCGGAUUUACUGGGUGUAAAGGGAGCGUAGACGGAAUGGCAAGUCUGAUGUGAAAGGCCGGGGCUCAACCCUGGGACUGCAUUGGAAACUGUCAAUCUAGAGUACCGGAGGGGUAAGUGGAAUUCCUAGUGUAGCGGCGAAAUGCGUAGAUAUUAGGAGGAACACCAGUGGCGAAGGCGGCUUACUGGACGGUAACUGACGGUGAGGCUCGAAAGCGUGGGGAGCAAACAGGAGUAGAUACCCUGGGAGGCCACGCCGUAAACGAUGAAAUACUAGGGUGUUGGGGAGCAAAAGCUA